rnacentral:rRNA from 1 species
CGGUAAUUCCAGCUCCAAUAGCGUAUACUAAAGUUGUUGCAGUUAAAAAGCUCGUAGUUGGAUUUCUGCGGGGACGGAGCGGCCGGUCGCAACUUGCGACUCGAGCUAGCGCUUUCCCCGCAUCCUGCCGCGAACCGUGCUACCAUUAGUUUGGUGGCGCUGGGGAUCGGCUCGAUUACUUUGAGAAAAAUAGAGUGUUCAAAGCAGGCCACACGCCUUGAAUAAGUUAGCAUGGAAUAAUGACUAAGGACUUUGGUUCUUUUCGUUGGUGUUCGGGACUGAAGUAAUGAUUGAUAGGGACAGUUGGGGCGGUCCGUAUUCCAAAGCGAGAGGUGAAAUUCUUAGACCUUCGGAAGACGAACAGCUGCGAAAGCGUUCCGCAAGGAUGUUCCCUUUGAUCAAGGACGAAAGUUGGGGGAUCGAAGACGAUCAGAUACCGUCGUAGUCUCAACUAUAAACUAUACCAGCUAGGGAUCGGCCAACGUUUAACUAUUCGACUUGGUCGGCACCUUAUGAGAAAUCAAAGCAUCUGGGUUCCGGGGGGAGUAUGGUCGCAAGGCUGAAACUUAAAGGAAUUGACGGAAGGGCACCACCAGCCGUGGAGCCUGUGGCUUAAUUUGACUCAACACGGGAAAACUUACCAGGUCCGGGCAUAGUAAGGAUUGACAGAUUGAUAGCUCUUUCUUGAUUCUGUGGGUGGUGGUGCAUGGCCGUUUUUAGUCGGUGGAUGUGAUCUGUCUGCUUAAUUGCGUUAACGGACGAGACCCCAGCCUGCUAAAUAGCGCGGCCGAGCUUUGCUCGGUGCGAGCUUCUUAGAGGGACCAUGAUGCGCGAUAGCACAAGGAAGUUUGGGGCAACAACAGGUCUGUGAUGCCCUUAGAUGUUCUGGGCCGCACACGGGCUACACUGGCGCCUGCAACGAGCAUAUCAGCUGGCCCGAGAGGGUCUUGGCUAAUCUUUGGAACCGGCGCCGUGCUUGGGAUUGACCAUUGCAAUUGUUGGUCAUGCAACGAGGAAUGCCUUGUAAACGCGAGUCAUCAGCUCGCAUUGAAUACGUCCCUGCCCCUUGUACACACCGCCC